rnacentral:lncRNA from 1 species
AAAUGAAAUCAUCAACCAACUAGCAAAGUGGUGAGCUCCUUGCAGGUAGGAUCCUUCAUCAAAGAGAGACUGAUGAGCAGUGGAGACGCCUCUCUGAAGUGCAGACCCGUGGUGGACGCCCACCAGGAUCAGUCAACAUCACUCUAAUUGCAAGUUAAUGCCCCAUCCCUAUGGCACUCUGUCGGUAACCAGUCAUCACAGCAGCAGUAAUCAGAUAA